GACGAACGCUGGCGGCGUGCUUAACACAUGCAAGUCGAACGGAAAGGCCCUGCUUUUGUGGGGUGCUCGAGUGGCGAACGGGUGUGUAACACGUGAGUAACCUGCCCUUGACUUUGGGAUAACUUCAGGAAACUGGGGCUAAUACCGGAUAGGAGCUCCUGCUGCAUGGUGGGGGUUGGAAAGUUUCGGCGGUUGGGGAUGGACUCGCGGCUUAUCAGCUUGUUGGUGGGGUAGUGGCUUACCAAGGCUUUGACGGGUAGCCGGCCUGAGAGGGUGACCGGCCACAUUGGGACUGAGCUACGGCCCAGCCUCCUACGGUACGCAGCAGUGUGGAAUAUUGCACAAUGGGCGGAGGCCUAAUGCAGCAACGCCGCGUGCGGGAUGACGGCCUUCGGGUUGUAAACCGCUUUCGCCUGUGACGAAGCGUUAGUGACGGUAAUGGGUAAGGUAGCACCGGCUAACUACGUG
rnacentral:rRNA from 1 species